GGCUUGCCUUCAUACACAGGCCAUGGAGCUAACAUUUAGAUUUGUGAUUUAGAAAGACAGAAGCACUUCUGAUUCCCCUCCAUGUGAAGAAACGUCUUGUUUCAAGAAGUCAGGAUGUGAUAUGAUUGAAAGCAAAUUUGGGCCCUGAUGGAUGACAACUGUAGCUCCAAGAGAAAAAACAGAGAUGAUUUCAGAAAGCCUUUCUAUAACAUCAAGCAAGGACUACAUACAUCAAAGUUCAGGGGUCCACUUGCAAGUAUUCUGACUAAGAGGAAAAAAAAAAGGUAAAAAAAAAGAAAACAAGAAAGCCAGCACUG